CGGGCUCUGGAUCCGACUU
rnacentral:misc_RNA from 1 species